GCCUCGGUGGCUUAGUGGUUAAAGCGCCAGACUCAUAAUCUGGAGACCGCCAGUUCAAAUCUGGCUCGAGGCA
rnacentral:tRNA from 1 species